GGGGCUAUAGCUCAGCUGGGAGAGCGCUUGCAUGGCAUGCAAGAGGUCAGCGGUUCGAUCCUUAGCUCCACCA
rnacentral:tRNA from 1 species